UACGAAGGGGGCUAGCGUUGCUCGGAAUCACUGGGCGUAAAGGGUGCGUAGGCGGGUCUUUAAGUCAGGGUGAAAUCCUGGAGCUCAACUCCAGAACUGCCUUUGAUACUGAAGAUCUUGAGUUCGGGAGAGGUGAGUGGAACUGCGAGUGUAGAGGUGAAAUUCGUAGAUAUUCGCAAGAACACCAGUGGCGAAGGCGGCUCACUGGCCCGAUACUGACGCUGAGGCACGAAAGCGUGGGGAGCAAACAGG
rnacentral:rRNA from 1 species